GUGAAUAAAAGCCUUCAGUUUCCAUAAUCUUCAUGUUUCCUCUGCGUCAAUAAAACUCGGUGCAUAAAAAUUCAUCCAUGCAUAGAAAAUCUCCCUAAAACACACGCACACAAUAUAUACACACGCGAUGAUACAUAAUACAGGUACAGAUACAGAGCUGAAAGUGGCGGUAACCCUUCUCAGACACAUCACAGUCCAUUAAUCUGUGGUAUAUUCCGUUGAUCCGAACACCAAAUAGUCUGAAUAUAAUGCCAAUGGGAAAUUAGGAACACUCUUAAACAACAGUGAGUUAUUUAAGAUAGGAAAUUAUAAAAAAAAGGUUGAAUUUGUGAAGGCAGAAAAAUAUGAACCCUAGAAAAAGUCUGAAUAUAAUGCUAAUGGGAAAUUAGGAACACUCUUAAACAACAGUGAGUUAUUUAAGAUAGGAAAUUAUAUAAAAAAAUGAAAAGAAGGUUGAAUUUGUGAAGGCAGAAAAAUAUGAACUUAGAAAAAGUCUGAAUAUAAUGCCAAUGGGAAAUUAUGAACAUUCUUAAAGAAGUCUGAAUUAUUAGAGGUAGGAAAUUAUAUAAAAAAAUGAAAAGAAGGUUGAAUUUGUGAGGGCAGCAAAAUAUGAACCCUAGCAGUUUUUGGAAGCAGGAAAUAACUCUGAAAAGGCACGAAAAAAUAAACUAAAAAAAAAAGGUCUUAAUAUGUGAAGGUAAGUAAUAAUUAUAUAAACCUUAGAGAAGAUGUUUUUAGAAGGCAGAAAAUUACAAUCAUCCUCAAAAACAAGUCUGAAUUAUUUAAGAUUUGAAAUUAUAUAAAAAAAACUGCAAAAA